AAUUAUAUUGAAUGGUUUGCAGAUGCUGAGUGACCUUGCAUUCCUGAGCAGGGAAAUGAAAUUAAAAAUAAUGAGAUACCACCACACAACUAUUAAAAUGGCCCAAAUGCAGAACAACAAUAGCACGAAAUGCUGAUUAGGAUGUGGAGCAACAGUCUUUUAGGUGGUUUCCUAUGGCCGUGGCAUGGGGAAAAUGGAGCUGCAAGUUGAGUCGUGCACCCCCCAAAACACCACCACCUGAGAAACAAAUGCACAACAGCCAAAUAAUAAUAAAUUGUCCAUGCGUG